rnacentral:misc_RNA from 1 species
UUUGAUGCAGGGCUUUCACAACGAAUCAUUAGUAUGUAUCAUCACCAGCAUCAUUUACAUAUUUAUCAUCGUAGAAUACGUGUCGGGUCAUGCCAUCACAGAUUUCCAUUCCGUGGUCCUAUGUCCAUGUAUAUAUUAAAUAAUGUAACACGCACGCCACUAUCAUUUGUCCUCUUUCCUGUGUAUGGCCAAACUUUCUCCAAAAUGACAUUUCGGAAUUUCCUGCGGAAAAACAAAACCCUGCUGUUGGCAUUCCUACCACCGAUUGUGCUUCUACCUUUACCCUUAUCUGGACAAUCACAGGAAUCAAAAUGUGCUUACGGUCUACUUCUUAUGGCGUUCUACUGGACCACAGAGACUUUUCCGGUCGCCAUUACCGCCACACUUCCGGUUAUAUUAUUUCCAAUGAUGGGAAUCAGUAAAGUUGGCGACCUGGCCUCCAAGUAUUUUCAUCAUAUUACAUUUGUCUUGAUUGGUGGUUUGGCUGUUGCUAUAGCCAUCGAAAAAUGGAACGUCCAUAAACGUAUAGCAUUACGGCUAUUACUGACCAUGGGUACCACUCCGAAAUGGCUCAUGCUUGGCUUCAUGUUGACCACUUCGUUCCUGUCCAUGUGGAUCAGUAAUACGGCCACAACGUCCAUGAUGAUCCCAAUAGCCCAUGCCGUUCUGUCCGAGCUGAUGGGCAUGCGAGUGUCCCGUAAUCAACUCAAACCUGAUCAGGAUAAACGAAACGGUGAGGAAAAUAUACAUACCAUUCCAAAAAUGUAUGUAAAAGGAGACACGAAGGUGGGUUUGCCUGAUGUAGAACCAUCUGAGAGUGUCGGGAUAACUAUACAAAAAGCGGACCAUGACGAAAAGCAGAAGUUGAUCAUUCAGCAAGCACAACAAAGUGUAGAACAACCCGAACCUGUCGAGGGAGACAAACUGAUCCAAGUGAAGAUGGAAGAAGAGGGGGAUUUUGACUUUGAGGCCCUCGAUCCGGAGUCAAAGAAUCUCUGUAAGGCUAUGCUACUGUCUAUCUGUUACGCGGCUAACUGUGGGGGUGUAGCUACACUAACCGGAGCCGGACCUAACCUCGUCAUGAAAGGACAGGCGGACCUGAUGUCGGAUGGUGAAUCGGGGAUAACGUUUGCGACUUGGUUUGUCUUCGCCUUCCCCGUGGCUGUCAUCAACGCGCUGCUGGCCUGGCUAUGUCUGCAGGUCGUCUAUUUCGGAUUACGAAACCUGUUUAAAUCUGGUGACAAAUCGGAAGGUGAGGCAGUGAAAAAGAUAAUACGUUCUCAUUACGAUUCCUUGGGAAAUAUGAGUUUUGCUGAAAAGGCUGUCAUGGUCCACUUUGUGAUCUUAGUACUUUGCUGGUUUACGCUGGAGCCAGAGUUCGUACCUGGAUGGGGGUCGCUCUUCAAACAUGGAUACAUCAGUGAUGCUGUUCCUGCUAUGAUAAUUGGCUGUCUUCUAUUCGUGUUCCCAAGUUCCCGAGACCAAAAUAACGCAGCUAAUAAAAGAAGUGCGGCGCUUCUUGACUGGAAAACCUUUAACCGGAAGUUGCCGUGGGGCGUUGCCCUACUUCUUGGCGGAGGAUUUGCUCUUGCACAUGCUUGUAAGAAAUCCGGUUUGUCGCUGUGGCUAGCCCGUAUGAUGGCGGUAAUGACUGGUAUCCCAGAAUGGGCCAUGAUUGCAGUCAUAUGUUUGGUUAUCUCCCUUUCAACGGAAAUUACGACAAAUACCGCUGUGUGUACGAUCUUCAUGCCCAUUCUGGCAGAUUUGGCCAAAGGGAUCCAUGUACAUCCCAUAUACAUUAUGUUUCCGGCAGCGAUUUCAUCUUCAUUUGCAUUCAUGCUACCCGUAGGAGCGCCACCAAACACUAUUGCCUUCUCAUAUGGGUAUCUCAGAAUCAUCGAUAUGGUGAAGGUCGGCUGGAUCCUCAACCUUUUGUGUGUGGUAGUUGUUACCAUCGCCAUCAACACAUGGGGAAUGGCCUACUUCCGGUUGGACGUUUAUCCAGAAUGGGCUGUCAUACAGGGUCAAAUGUCAUCAUCGGUGGCAAAUUCUACAUUUAUUCAUUUGAUUAACCAAACAUCCAUUAUGACGUCAUCAGGGAACUUUACCGAAAUUGUGACACCACUGUUAGUUAACUAAUAUGUGAAUUUGAAUGAAAAGAGUUUUUCACAAAUUCUAAAAAUAAAAAUUUAAUCUCAAACAAUUAUUGUUCUUAGAUGUUUUUUUAUGAAUAACAGGAAAAAAUAUCGAAGUUUGAACAAAACAGUAUGUUGUACUUUAAACUAGGAACAACAACUAAAGACAGAGGAAAAGUUUAUAGUGAGACCCUUGCAAAACAAUACAAAGGUGCUAAGACCAUUUGUUCCGGAAACAUUUGACAUCUUCUGGUUCGUCGACGACAUCCGGUCAAAUCCUAGCCAUGUCACGAACUCAAGUGAGACUGGUGUAGCGAAAACCAAAUAUCUAUGCAUGUUAUCUAAAACGUCGAUAAUCAUGCAAUAAUCACAUCGCGAACACAAAAAAGAGAUUUUCCAAUGGCAUCAUAGGGCAGUUAUAUAUACAGUAUCUUGCCCAUAUUCUUAAUUAACCUGUUUAUCUCGAAAACAGUGUUGGUCUGUCUGUCAGAGCAUUAAUUAGUUUAAUUUACAUUUAUCAUUGAGUUUAUAUUUAAGGUAUGACUACUGUUUGUGCAAAAAAACAUUACUUUGCAGCGUCGUCGUAACGAACUUGUAAACCACAAGAGACACUGUCAGAUUCAUCGGUCAACUCUUUCAUGGGCCAACUCCUGCAUGUUAGACGGCUGGUUCUGACGUUUGACUGUGUAUAAAUAAUGUUUGUAAAGUUACAUAAUUAUGUAACACAGGAUUUGACGUGAGGAUGCAAUUUCUUAAUUCAUAUAUAAUUGCGAGAAAAUUAUCCUUUUGAUUAUGACAAUUUUUCUGGCAUAUCAAUAAUUAAGUAUUUGGACAAAACACAUAAAAAAUAAGAAAUUGUUGUUCCCGGAUCUGGUUCAUUCCCUUGCAACUUAUUUGGAGAAUAUGUUGCCAUGAUUGCUUAGAUAUCCAAGUGAGCGAUACAGGCCCUUUGGACCUCUUGUUAAUAGUUAUACAGAAAAUAAGUUAAAGUAAUAUAAGUGUGUUACAUGCAGACACUUUUCCAUAGAUCUUUCUUUGAUGCAGGGCUUUCACAACGAAUCAUUAGUAUGUAUCAUCAUCAUAAUCAUUUACAUAUUUAUCAUAGUAGAAUACGUGUCGGGUCAUGCCAUCACAGAUUUCCAUCCCGUGGUCCUAUGUCCAUGUAUAUAGUAAAUAAUGUUACACGCACGCCACUAUCAUUUGUUCUCUUUCAUGUGUAUGGUCCAACUUUCUUCGAAAUGACAAUUCGGAAUAUCUUGCGGAAAAACAAAACCCUGCUGUUGACAUUCCUACCACCGAUUGUGCUUCUACCUUUACCCUUAUCUGGACAAUCACAGGAAUCAAAAUGUGCUUACGGUCUACUUCUUAUGGCGUUCUACUGGACCACAGAGACGUUUCCGGUCGCCAUUACCGCCACACUUCCGGUUAUAUUAUUUCCAAUGAUGGGUAUCAGUAAAGUUGGCGACCUGGCCUCCAAGUAUUUUCAUCAUAUUACAUUUGUCAUGAUUGGUGGUUUGGCUGUUGCUAUAGCCAUCGAAAAAUGGAACGUCCAUACACGUAUAGCAUUACGGCUAUUACUGACCAUGGGUACCACUCCGAAAUGGCUCAUGCUUGGCUUCAUGUUGACCACUUCGUUCCUGUCCAUGUGGAUCAGUAAUACGGCCACAACGUCCAUCAUGAUCCCAAUAGCCCAAGCCGUUCUGACCCAGCUGAUGGGCAUGCGAGUGUCACGUGAUCAACUCAAACCUGAUCAGGAUACACGAAACGAUGAGAAGAAUAUACAUACCAUUCAAGAAAUGUAUGUAAACGGAGACACGAAGGUGGCGUUGGAUUUGCCUGAUGUAGAACCAUCUGAGAGUGUCGGGAUAACUAUACAACAACCAGACCCUGACGGAAAGCAGAAGUUGACCAUUCAGCAAGCACACCAAAGUGUAGAACAACCCGAGCCUGUCGAGGG